CCUUCGGCUGAUAAUGGCUCAGGUUUUCAUUCAUUUAUAAGGCUGAAAAUAAAUUAAUAGUUAGUCUUACUGCUACAGGUAUCAAUGUUAAAGAUGUGUCUCACUUUCCUCAGGUUGAGAAGGAUUCAAUAGAUGUAUCCGCGAAGGCGGCAGUCCAAUCUGAUGAAGAGGAAGAAGACGAAAUUGAUGAAAUUAUGUAUGGUGAAGACGUGGAUUUGUCUGAGAAAAAUAGUGACGAUGAUGCUGAGUAGAAUUGCAGCAUUGUUGCCAUGUCUCCGAGAGACUUCGCGACUUUGUGUACGGUGAAGAUGUAUUUUUCAAGCUUAAAGCCAGUAGUUGAGUUUUUAAAACCGUGCAACCAUGGAAGGUUGCACAUAAUUUUGACAACAUGAGGUAAUAUCUGAAAGGAAUUUUUGUAAGCAACUUAUAUCCUAUGUAUGCAUCCUAGAGACUGUAUCCAUGCAUCUGAAUUGCAGGUGGAACAUCGAAACAAUCAUGAAUUUGCAGUUAAACACCCCCACUGGAUUCUUCAGUCACCGCGUCUUCUGCAGUAAAUCCCCUUGGAUUGAAAG
rnacentral:lncRNA from 1 species